rnacentral:rRNA from 1 species
CUUGAUGGUAGUGUAUUGGACUACCAUGAGGAUUACGGGUACGAGGAAUUAGGGUUUGAUAUCGGAGAGGGAGCCUGAGAAACGGCUACCACUUCUAAGGAAGGCAGCAGGCGCGUAAAUUACCCAAUCCCAACUCGGGGAGGUAGUGACAAGAAAUAAUAACUCGGAUAGUUCUACUAUUACGAGAUUAAAAUGAGAACAAUUUAAAAAUCUUAACGAGGAACAAAAUGAGGGCAAGUCUGGUGCCAGCAGCCGCGGUAAUUCCAGCUCAUUUAGUGUAUAUUAAAGUUGUUGCAGUUAAAAAGCUCGUAGUCGAUCAUCUAGUGCUUGCCGUCGUGGCUUCGGUCAUUGCGCGCGGGUGCUAUCUGCUCGAGAACUUCAUCUAACUUCACUGUUCGAUGUUGCUGAUCGGGCACUUUCCUGAGAAAAAAAUUAGAGUGUUCAAAGCAGGCUAAUGCCUUGAAUAUUACAGCUUGGAAUAAUAGAAUAAGACUGAAGUCUCUUUUGUUGGUUAUGAACUUUAGUAAUGGUUAAUAGAAACCGGCGGGGGCAUUAGUAUUUAAUUGUCAGAGGUGAAAUUCUAUGAUUUAUUAAAGACUAACUUAUGCGAAAGCAUUUGCCSAGGAUGUUUUCRAAUUGACVAGAACGAAAGUUAGGGGUCVRAAGACGUCSGAUCCGUCC